GGGGGCGUACUGGUUUCGACGGGUACUCUGAGUUCGGAGCUGCAUGCCGAGGAUGAUUCGUUGGCCUCGUUAAAAUCGCGGAUCAAAAACAUAAAUGUGAACUCUAACGAGCUCGCUCUCGCGGCUUAAGCCCCGCGACGUCACGCAGGCGAUGUCUGGUAGCCUGCC
rnacentral:tmRNA from 1 species